CUUGAGCAGCGUAUGAUCUAACUCUAGUGGGAAAACACACUAGAAAUAAUCACAUAAAUAGCUAUUUAAUAAACCAAGUGACGUCAGUUCCUUGCACUCGGACCAGCCUGAUGCUUCAUUAGACUGAACUCAAAAGAGUUUCUGAAGGACAAGUGUACAAAAGAGUAACCCACUUGGAAAUCUUUAGGCAUAGUUAAUCCUCCAAGGACUAUCUCCAAGUGAAACACAACAAAACAAAAACAAACAAGCAAAAAAGAAGUAAGGAUUUUUCGAAAACAGCUAUUGGUCAUUAAUUUUUUUCCACCUAAUAACACAUAUGCUAUUUGUUCAUACAGUCAGUCAACAGUGACCGUCACUGUUCCAGGUGCUGGCAUUUUCCAGUGAAGAAAACAAGACUUCCUGUCCUUAUGGAAAUUACAUUGUAAUUGGGGCAGACAGAAAAGAAAUGAAAUGAAUAAGAAAAUUACAUAGAAUGUUAAAAGGUGAUAAGUGGUGUGGAGAGAAGGAAGGCACAGAAUGGGGAGAAGUUGCUGUUUUAAAUAGGGUGCUCAAGGUGCCUGAAGGAAACGUCUGACCACGUGGAUAUCUGGGGAAGGAGUAUUUCAAGUCGAGGGAACAGUGAGUGUAAAAUCUAAGUACAGAAUCUACGAUGGUUAAAAAAAGAUUCAAAGAGUACAGAAUGUUUAUAAUGAAGAGCAAGGAACCAUAGUUUCAUCCUUUCCUCUGAGGCCCCACUGCCCAAAAGCAACCAUCUUGUUUCGUUUUAAUUGUUUCUGUUUUUAAUUCUGUUGGUUAUGUCUAGUUCUCUAAUUUAUGUGCUCAAAUAACUCCAUCUCGAUUUACCAAGUUCACAUGUUACUAGUAACCUCCUGCAUUAGAUGAGGCUUCAGCUCACACCAUCCCACAUUCCCUCCUUGUUCCUCUCAAUAUUUGAUAGAUAUUCAUGAUCUUUUAGUUGUGACUUUAGUUACCAUUUUCCUUUAGCAUAUUUGAGCUUCUAUUUAUGGUUCCAUUGAUUUUGGGAAAGAACAACUGGAAUUGGGAAGCACAGACAGAUCCAUGGGGCUGGGCAAAGGUCAGAAGUCUGGAUAUGGGCCCAAAGUGCAGAGGCUUUGAAGAAGCACACAGAGUUCAAAGCUGGUCAGAGUCUAGAUCAGCCUCCAUGGACAAAGAUGAUGAAAUGUCAGUACCAUCGGUCAAAUGCAAACAGAGAUUAAGAGUGGGAAGUACAAGUGUGUCUGGGCCUGGUGUGGGGGACCUAUUCGUGGGGAGACUGGAAUUUAAGGGCAAGAAAUUUGAACAUCCGGAGAGACUGAGGCACUGGGUUCUCUUCCAUGAACGGAGGAGAAGUAUCCUUUUCAUGGCAAAAUUCCAGCUCUUUGCUGGUGCACCAUGCCACUCCUCUGCUUAUUUGAACUGAGAUUCCCAUAUCUACUUCCUCCACUCUUCUCUAAAUCUAAGCAUGGCUGCCCCUGUAGACUGCAUUUCCCAAGUUUCCUUGCCAACUGGCUUCUGUUUACAUUUCACCACUGGGAAGCCCAGGAGGGAGACUGGAGAAAAAAAGAAAAGGAGAAGCCAGGGUUUUUCAUCCCUCCUUUCUCUGCUUCAGGAAGUGGUGUGAGUUUCCAGUUUCUGCCCUGUUGCUCUGGCUUCCAGGUUUUGAUAAUAUGGUGUAGCAACUUCCUGCUGUUUUGAAUCUCUGGGUUAUCUCAUUGUCCUUUGUUCAGCCUCUCAAUUUUUCCGACACCUUUAUAACUGGUUCCCUGAAUUAACUUAUCACCAUUGAACCAACUGGCAUGAGCGCGAUUUUCCUGAGAGGACCUUGAUUAAUACAUGCUCUAAACACUGAAGAUACUUUCUACCACUGAAUUAAAUCCAUUGACUCCUGAGUAGUAAAUGAAGAUAGUAUUGGAUUUUAGGAAGAUCCUAUAUUAUUGUUACUAUUUUUUUUUUUUUUACCUUAUAUUUGAUUUUCCUUCCUUUUAGUAGCAUUUUUCCACACAUGAUUAUUGUCUGGUGUCUCUGAGACGCUCCAGCAAUGGCACCUCAGACAAGGUGCUGGAUGCGUAAGUUGCUUUGGGUAGCUGCCAAGCCAGAUGCUGUAUGUCAAAUGAUAAUACAUGCACAAAAUGUUCUAGAACAAAAUGACAAUUUAGAUGUAAAUAAACCAUUUAAGCAUAUGGCAUCCACCCAACUGUUUCUGUAGGUAAAAUCGUGGAAGCAUUGCCUAAAAUAAGAACUUUAAAAUUACUAAAAGUGACCAGAUAACUGGUGGAUUAGCAACAUACAUCUAUCAGGAAGUUCCAGAGGUGACCGUGGGAGUUAUGGGCUGCUAAAUUAUUUUCACUAUAAUUCUUGGCACUAUUGAAUCAAUUGAACUUGGCACUAAGAAUCAAACAUAAAGUCUAGGGUCAGUAGCAUAAAAUAAAUAUAACUGAAUGUGAAAAGGUACUUAGUACAGAGCUUUGCAUGUAAUAGAUGCCAAACGAACAAGUAUGGAAUGUUGGAGAAAUGUGCUUUAUGAAGGGGUAAAUCUGUGAAUGAACAUAUGCAAACCAGUGAACAAAAUUUAUUUAGACGUUCAAAAAGCCUUUGACGUAAAGUAAUAAGAUGGCAUUUUUCCUCUAUUCAAAUUAGAAAAGAUUUUUUAAAAUUAUGGUAUGCCAUACUGGAGAGAAAAACAGGCAUCCUGCGAGGGAAAUCAGUACAAUGUUUCUGGAAGGUAAUUAGGUAAUAAAAAUCGUAAGUCUUAACUGUGUUUGACUCAGCCUUUUCACUGCUAGGAAUUUAUUCUAUGGAAAUAAUCAUGGAUAUAUGCUUUGAUUUAUCAUCAUGGUUGAUUACAGUCUAAUUUGUGACUGGAAGAAAAAAUACCUCACCUACAUUUCCAUCAAAGGGAUUUGGUUAAGUAAAGUAAGAUCCAUCUAUACAGUGGCAUAAUGGGCAGUCAUAAACAUGACAUGUAAGAAUAAUGGAUAUAGGGGGAAUGUCUAUGAUUUUUUGGUAAGUAAAAAAGCAGGUUAUAGAGUAGUUUGACCCCAUUAAACAAUUAUACAGAGGAAAGUAAGUCACUAAAAUGUUAGUAGAGUCAGAUUAGGUGAUUUCCUUUUUUUCUAUGUGCUUAUCUCUAUUUUUCAAAUUUUCUAGAAUAAGUUUAUUUUGUAAAUAGGUGAACAUAAAUAAAUAUUGUAACACUUGCUGUGAAUUCUAUUUUUAAAAACUCAGCAAUUGAUUCUUUUGGAACUGAGAAUCGUGGCAUAGAGGAGGUGUUUUGUCUCGGUAGUAAACUUCUUUAGAGACUUAGGGUGCCCUGAGGAUUUUGUUACAUUGUACUAAGAAACAAAGGGUGGGGAAAAAAGUGACUUUGGACAGUGGUUUAAAACUUUGUUAAAUGUGUUUCUUCACAUAAUUUUAUAGGACAUUUGGAAAAUAGAUGUGUCAGUGCCAUUACUCUCAUAGACCAUUGUUACUGGCAUCUUGAAAUGUCUUCCAGUCUUUUUUAUUUUUAACAGCGUGGAAGUCAUAACGUUACUUUGUAUUAUGUCUCUUCACUUAAUGCUGUACUGUGAGUCUUUCCCCACUGUCAUUGGGAUUAUCAUGACUACAUAGUAUUCCCCCAUGGGGACGAUUGCAGAGUAUUACCUUAGUGUUGGGAUUCUUUCAUGGAUCAGUGCUAAGGUGAUGUGAUAACUAACACAUUCCUCAGUGAUCUGAAAGAGGCCCUCACUUCCGGUUUCUACUGACUGUGUGGGGUGCACGAAUAAGCUAGAGGUGACCCACAGAAGAGGUGCCUGGCAAACUGGGUGCUGUGCGCCUGGGCAAUAGCACAGUGAUGGAGCACCAGUGUGGACUUGAGACUCUGCUCAUGAUGUGAGUUCUAUGACCCAAGGGACUUUGUCAUGAUUGACCUUCCAGGAGGGAUGCUGCUCAUUUAUUCCCACUUUCUGGAUUGCGCUUUCUCCCUAUUUCUACUGUGAAUUCAUCCCUUAACACCUAGACGCCUGUCUUAACAUUUCUUUCCCUGUGCAUCUAUGAAUACACCUUCUUCUUACUCAUUGUUAUGGCUGAAUUGUGUCCCUCCCCUUCACUUCAUAUGUUGAAACCCUGACCCCCACUAACUCAGAAAGUGACUGUAUUUGGAGAUAGGGCCUUUAAAGCAGUAAUUAAGUUAAAAUGGUGUCAUUAGUAUGGGCCUUCAUUCAAUAUGACUGGUGUCUUUACAAAAAGAGGCAAUUAGGACCUAGACAACAUAGACAGAGGUACAACCAUGUGAGGACACAGUGAGAAGAUGGCCAUCUGCAAACCAAGGAGAGAGGCAUCAGGAGGAACCAAACCUGUCGACACUCAGUCUUGGACUUCCAGCCUCCAGAACUAUAAGAAAAUAAAUUUCUUUUGUUUAAGCCACCUGGUCUGUGGUAUUUUGUUUUGGCAGCCCCAGCAAACAAAAUUACUCACGGAAAAGAGGAC
ensembl:lncRNA